rnacentral:rRNA from 1 species
UACGGAGGAUCCAAGCGUUAUCCGGAUUUAUUGGGUUUAAAGGGUGCGUAGGCGGCUUAUUAAGUCAGGGGUGAAAGACGGUGGCUCAACCAUCGCAGUGCCCUUGAUACUGAUGAGCUUGAAUACACUUGAGGUAGGCGGAAUGUGACAAGUAGCGGUGAAAUGCAUAGAUAUGUCACGGAACACCAAUUGCGAAGGCAGCUUACUAAGGUGCAAUUGACGCUGAGGCACGAAAGCGUGGGGAUCAAACAGG